AAGGCUAUACUUUCAGGGAUCAUUUCUAUAGUUCGUUACUAGAGAAGUUUCUCCGAUCAUGUAGAGUACAAGAU
ensembl:snoRNA U3 Small nucleolar RNA U3